UCUGCAGUUAAUUAAAAAUGACGAGAAUUAAGCACACAACAGAUGAGGAUAUAAAGUACAGAUCAGCUUGAUCCCCCAGCAUGAAAAUGCAUUUUAUUUUAUCCCUUUAGCAGAAGAGGGAUUUUUGUCUCCACAUACGGGCUAUAGCAACGUGGCUGGAAAAUUUCCAUUGUCUUUAAUUAAAACAGUGUGAUUACGUUUUCCUUUCUGCAGCCUGCACAGACCCUGACUCAGCUUAGAAUUAGGUGCAGGUGGUCUGAGUGCAGCAGUAAUCAGGGCUGGAUCUGGCACCUAGAUAGCCUGGUACAAAAACCCUCGGGUCAAACCCACCUAAUCUGGAGAUAUGUUGUUAUUGCAAGGCUAACAUGUAGUGUUCCAGUUUUGCUAAGAGGAAGAUGAUUUUGCUAGGAAGAAAAACAUGGUUUGUGCCUGUUGUAGGAUGACCUGCAGGAGUGAAGCAUGAAGGUUCAGUGCAAGAGAAUGUGUGAUAGUUAAUCUCUUCCCAAACACCCUGACCUUGGAUAAUACACAAGACUGCAAGGAGAGCAGCCCUGCACCUGGUGUUUAAGGUUAAAUAGGUCCAUGUGAAGCCACAAUCAAUUUGUUACCUACUCCAUACACUCACCUGUGUAAUUGUGCAGAGGUUUGGAAGGCUCCUGGCACAUGUCAAGAAUCUCAUUAGUGGUGCUGAUGUCUUCUGCCUCUGGCUGUACCUCAUCAGGUUGGGUAUUUGCUGUCUUUGUUUGUUUAAGGUAUACCGAGCAUAGAAAUUGCUGAAGCAUUCAUGCAUGUUGCAGCACAUUGGUGUGUGUUAACCUCCAGGUCUGGCACCUUCAGGAUUUUCAUCUGAUUACAUGCACUCACCUGGAAUCUGCAAGUCCUGCCUACACCCUGCUUGUUUCUUUCAUGUUCAAUUGCUCUUGGAUAAAAACACAAGGACCAGGUAGCAAAUACGUUAUCAAAAGAUGGCCAUCCUGGCAUGAGAAUGUAACUACCGCAAUGCUUC
rnacentral:lncRNA from 1 species